CGGUCGGACGCGCCGAAAAAAAAACAGAUCGCAGCCCCACCCCUCCCCUCGCCCCGCACCACCAGAACAGAGAGCAGCGCUAGGGUUCGAGCGCCGCCGCCGUUCUCCAGCGCCGCCGCUGCCGUUCUCCAGCGCUGCCGCCGUCGUUCUCCAGCGCCGCCGCCGCCCCCUCCUACACCGCGCCCCUAACCCUCCUCCAAUGGCCGCACCGUCGCCGGAAUCUCCUCCCGUGCCCUAGCGCCGCCGCGCCGGCACCACCGCUGCCAGGCACCACCUCCGCUGCCGCCGCCGCCGCAGGGCACCACCUCCGUCGCUGCUGGACUGCAAAGGAGAGGCAGUUGCACGGCCGCCGGGCACCAUCUCCCCCUCUGCCCCAUCAGCCCCCACGGGAUCAAUCUUUUCACCUCUAGGAGCACUGUUGGUCCUGUUGCCGUCGCCAUCACCGUCCACUACCUCCUCUAUGGAUCAUCUAGGGUGCAAGUAUGGGUGAAAAACCUAUAUUAUAAAAAUCGACGAGCCGCAAUGGAGGAUCCACCACACCAUCAAGGCAACUUGAACCUUAAGGGGUUCGGUGAGCAUUGGGCGUCUCACAAUAAGGCUCCGGAGCCCAACCUUUUUGUGGCGUAUGCUUUGGCCCAUAAGGGAUCGUUCUGAUCUGCCACGCCUUAUGAUGAGAAUGACACAUUACCUGCCUACACCAGCAAGACCGCCUACGAUCGAAUGGACAAAUUUAAAAGGAAGGCAAAAGAGAUGAGAGGGCCUGAGUAUGAUGUGACAUCAGAGCUCCUUGACCACGAGGUGGUUAUGAUAUCUGGAGGUGGUAGGAAACAUGGCAAGGAAGCGAUUGGAGGUGGCAUGUUUCCUAGGUCCUCCCGUCGCACUCUCCCUGAGUACAAAGCUCGGUCAGGUAUCUCAACAUCUUCUAUAUGUCAACGCUCGACUCCAGCAAUGGUUGCGAUGGAGUCUCGACUGGAGGAGCAGAGGCGACUGCUAGAUGAGAAGUUGGAGGAGAGGCGACUGUCGGAUGAGAAGAGGGCGGAGGAGAGGCGACUAGCGGAUGAGAGGAUGCAACUGAACUUUGCAAUGUUUGCGGCUUAUUGUACCCAGAAUGGUAUGCCCGCUAUGCAAAUGCCUGACAUUGCUUUGCCCCCUAUGCAUCAAUCAAGCCAUGGGUCAAAUAAUGAUGGAUCUUCACAUGCACCAGGCCCAAAUGCCAAUGACCAUGGUGGUUCUCCGAACUUUUGAGAUCGAGUAUGGUUGCCACACAGAUGCUCUUUGGACUAUGAUAUGGACAUGAAGACAUUUGUUGUAGUGCCAAAUAUUACGUACUGAUGCCUGCUUUGUUCAUUUGCUAUGGAACACAUUGUACUCUUGCUAUGGAAAACUUUGUACUCUUAUAUUUGCUAUGGACUAGCUCGCUAUGGGCAUUUGGUAUACUCUGUGUGGUAUUUGAUAUGAAUGUGUUAUGGAACAGUGCUAUGAACUGUGUCAUAUUUUCUAUGGAACA